GGAAAAAAGGUUUGGCUUUUAACUUACUCACUUUAUUUCUAUUAAUCUCUCUCUAUAUAUAUAUAUAAAGCUGAAUGUAGAGGAGUCUGAUGUGGCAGUCUGACAAUGCAGGAUUCAUAUUUUUCUUUUUUUCUCAAAUUUUUGGAUUUUUUGCUACAAAAUAAAUCCCUCACUUUAAUCUGUGCAGUUAUAACUUAAUCAUCUUCUAAAACAUUACAGAUCCUUUGAGAAAUAACUUCUGAAGCGUUACAUACCCUUUCAGAAAUAAAACUUCUGAACGAGAUAUCUUCAGCGAUUAGGAUUUCUUAUACAUCUUAAAUUGCACCUCUUUUGCUUCUAAAGGAGAGAUCUUCAGUUAUUAGGAAGACACUAAAACAGCUCCAAGCAGAGAGAAACGAGAGAGACGCAAAGCUCUAUACAACAAGGUUUGCACGCUUGUCAAAUGAGAACUCUUCGGCAGCAAAGGUUGUGAGUCAUAGUACAUCGCCAGACUGAAAAGAAGACUUCACAUGGGCUUUUGAUGUACCACCCAAGGGACAAAAGCUACAUAUCUUGUGCAAAAGCAAGAACACAGUUGGGAAGGUAAGUAGCUUUUUGUUCUGAAUGUCCGAUAUGAACUUUAUAUUUUUUGCCCAAUAAACUUUCAGCUAGAACAUCAGUUUUACCAACUCUGUUUCUUCUUUAUAGCAAAAUGAUGCAUACAGAAAGCAGGAUUUCAUGCUAUUAUAUGUGUGUUGCAUUUGUCAAUAGGAUGACAUAAUAGAAUGGCCACUCCUACAUAAUAGUUAAUAUCAGUCUCAGUAUUUCUGAUGUGUAUACUUUUGUUUCAAACUACUAUCGGGAGGGUAACGAUCCAAAUUGAUAAAGUUGUUGGUGAAGGCAUGUACAUUGGUCUUUUCAUCCUCAGCCAGGACAGCAAUAAGGAUGGCUCAUCCCGGACUUUAGAGAUUGAGAUUACCUGGUCCAGUAGGACGCCUAGCGAUAGUGAGUGAAGGGAAGCAAGACUGAAAUAAUGCAAACUUGAGGACCCAAAGGUGGAACUGGACCUGGUAAAGAACAAUCUCUUCAUAGUCCAGCCUAAUGCAAGAGUUGUUGGGGGAAGUCCAAGUUUUGUUUGUAUCUAAAGUGUUGCUACCUGUGGUGUAACUGUAAAAUAGUAAGAUAUUUGCAAGGACAGAAAAGUUGAGAGAGGUUCCCGCGGUACAAGGUGUCUUACACCUAGCUUUUAAGCACCAAAUUGUACAGGUUCUGCAGUUCUUAGAAAAUAACAAUAUCAAAUAGAGUUCACGAUAAGAAGGUUGUAAUGUUUAUUUCAAAUCCCACCUGUAUAUUUGUGAUGCAAAGUAGCAGCAAGUGCCAAAGGUGAUUUCUGUGCAGAAGGGCUGGCAUUAAAGUUCAUUAGUUUUGCUUCAUUCUUUUCCUAUUUACUUCCUUACUCCGUUCAACUCGAUUUCAGGCCAACAAGUGAAGUAGAAUUAAUUUAAUCUGCCUGACAAGAUGAAAAAUAUGCAGCAACAGCUACUACAUAAGCAGCAUCCAGGGAUCCAAACUGCAACUUAUGAGUUGUUACAAUGAGUCCAAUAAUGGCAAUUGGGAAAUGGUUUGAUCAAAUAUGCCAUUGGAAGAAUCCACUUACUACAAUUCUGAUUCACAUACUCUUUAUAAUAUUAGUCCUCUAUCCCGAAUUGAUUGUUCCUACAUUCUUUCUUUACCUUUUCUUGAUUGGUAUUUGGCACUAUAGAUUGAAACCAAGACAUCCACCUUACAUGGACAUCCAUCUAUCACACGCUCACGAUGUUUUCCCUGACGAUUUGGAUGAAGAAUUCGAUAGAUUCCCAACAUCAAGGAGCACGUAUAAGGUGAGGAUGAGAUGUGAUCGUUUGAGGAGCGUUGGCGGCAAGAUACAGACCGUGAUAGGGGACUUGGCGACUCAAGGGGAAAGGUUCCAUUCAUUGUUGAGUUGGAGAGAUCCAAGGGCAUCGGCUUUGUUUGUCACAAUCUGUUUGUUUGCUACAAUAUUACUAUUUUUUUGGUUAACGUUCUUAAUUUAAGUUCAUUAUUAAUUGGCAUUUUAUGAUUUUCAAAUGUCAUCAGAGGAUACUUACUGACUUUUCCUUCUUAACCUUUGUUGUUAUAUCUAAAGUAAAUAGUAAUGUCAUAGUUAAAUAGUUAAUGUACAUUUCUUAAUAGAUAAAACUUAAAUGAACUUUAUUGAUAAUAUGUAAUUAACUAUAAUUACACAAAAUCAUGAAAAUAC